rnacentral:rRNA from 1 species
AACGAACGCUGGCGGCAGGCCUAACACAUGCAAGUCGAACGAGAUCUUCGGAUCUAGUGGCGGACGGGUGAGUAACGCGUGGGAACGUGCCCUUCUCUACGGAAUAGUCCCGGGAAAACUGGGUUUAAUACCGUAUACGCCCUUCGGGGAAAGAAUUUCGGGGAAGGAUCGGCCCGCGUUGGAUUAGGUAGUUGGUCGGGGUAAUGGACCUACCGAAGCCCGACGAUCCAUAGCUGGUUUGAGACGGAUGGAUUCAGCCACACUGGGACUGAGACACGGCCCAGACUCCUACGGAGGCAGCAGUGGGAAUCUUAGACAAUGGGGGCAACCCUGAUCUAGCCAUGCCGCGUGAGUGACGAAGGCCCUAGGGUCG